ACGUAUGGGGCAAGCGUUGUUCGGAAUUAUUGGGCGUAAAGGGCGUCUAGGCGGGGGAUUAAGUUAGAUGUGAAAGCUAUGGGCUCAACCCAUAAACUGCAUCUAAGACUGGUUCUCUUGAGUCCGGGAGGGGAAGGCGGAAUUCCAGGUGUAGCGGUGAAAUGCGUAGAUAUCUGGAGGAACACCGAAGGCGAAGGCGGCUUUCUGGGCUAGGACUGACGCUGAAGCGCGAAAGCGUGGGGAGCGAACAG
rnacentral:rRNA from 1 species